UACGGGGGGGGGCAAGCGUUUGUUCGGAAUUACUGGGCGUAAAGGGCUCGUAGGUGGCCAACUCAGUCGGACGUGAAAUCCCUCGGCUUAACCGGGGAACUGCGUCCGAUACUGGAUGGCUUGAGAUCGGGAGAGGGAUGCGGAAUUCCAGGUGUAGCGGUGAAAUGCGUAGAUAUCUGGAGGAACACCGGUGGCGAAGGCGGCAUCCUGGACCAUUACUGACGCUGAGGCGCGAAAGCUAGGGGAGCAAACGGG
rnacentral:rRNA from 1 species